GCCGAGUUCCCCGCCCUGGCGCACUGGCCUUGGCUGGCGAGAGGGGGCCGGAGGGGCUGCCGGCGGAGCAGCCCCCUCCCCCACACACCAUGAGCAUUUAUGACACUAACAGAGAACAGGACUAUGUCAAGAAUUCUGAGGGUAUCCUUGGUGAAAAUAAAUUAAGACCACCCUCCCAGCUACAUUGUGUCUUAGAGAAGAUCGAGACAGGGUCCCUAUCAGAAAAGAUUUUUGAGACAGUGUCCUUGAGUUCAGACUCUCUCUUCCAGAGGGCAGUUUCACUCCUUCAUACUUCUUACUUGGACUCUUCAUCUGAGCAUGGUUUUCAGUACAGUCAAGUGACUUUGGUGAAAAAUGACAUUUUCUUAAAUGAGUACAAAGAUUUUUACCAACAAAAAAAAACAAGUAACUAUACUCAGGAAGA
rnacentral:sRNA from 1 species